rnacentral:lncRNA from 14 species
AGGCGGGCCCGGCGUCGCCGGGCGCUGCGAGCCCCCCGCCGGGUGGCCGCGGUGAGGAGGGGAAGAUGGCGGAGUGAGAGGCAGAGGCGAGGAGGCCGGGGCCGGCUGCGGCCCCGCGGCCUGGGCCGCGCUCAGGCUCAAUGAAGAGAAUGUGGAUUGAUCAAAAAUAAUGCUCUCCAGGUCUGUUUUCCUCCAUCUUCAUAACAAGAAUAAGACUUCCCCAACAGUGUGAUGGUGAAGCUCAUGAUCAGCUGAAAUAUUUG